CAGCCGCCGCGGGAAUACGGAGGAUCCAAGCGUUAUCCGGAAUCAUUGGGUUUAAAGGGUCCGUAGGCGGUCUUGUAAGUCAGUGGUGAAAGCCCAUCGCUCAACGGUGGAACGGCCAUUGAUACUGCAGGACUUGAAUUAUUGGGAAGUAACUAGAAUAUGUAGUGUAGCGGUGAAAUGCUUAGAGAUUACAUGGAAUACCAAUUGCGAAGGCAGGUUACUACCAAUUGAUUGACGCUGAUGGACCAAAGCGUGGGUAGCGAACAGGAUUAGAUACCCGAGUAGUCCCUGUCUCUUAUAC
rnacentral:rRNA from 1 species